rnacentral:sRNA from 1 species
UGUUUGCACUUAGCGGGAAGGAUAAGAACCUUCGACUAAGGUUCGACUCGAGCGCCAGCGAGAGAACGUUGCCGCAGGCAACAGCCCGAAGGGCGAGGAGAGAUAGCGACGAGUUAUCCUUUCCCCACCACCA